rnacentral:rRNA from 1 species
AGCCUGCUGAAUCUAUUAUAGUAGGUACCUCCUGCCCAGUGAUCUUUUCAACGGCCGCGGUAUCCUGACCGUGCAAAGGUAGCAUAAUCAUUUGCCUCCUAAUUAGAGGCUGGAAUGAAUGGAUAAACGAAAACUUAUCUGUCUCUAUUAUAACCAUAAAAACUAACCCUUAGGUGAAGAGGCCUAAAUAAAUUUAAAAGACAAGAAGACCCUGUCGAGCUUUAUCCUAAAUAAGACCUGAACCUCUCCCCUUAUUAAAGAAUUUGUUGGGGCGACAAAGGAUCAAAAUCAACCUCCUAUCUAAAAAGACCCUAAAUCUCAUCAAAGAACCAAAUCACAUGCUCACAAAAAAUAGCUACCGCAGGGAUAACAGACUAAUCUUCCUCCAGAGCCCAAAUCUACAGGAAGGAUUGGCACCUCGAUGUUGGCUUAGGGGCUCUAUUAAAUGCAGCCAUUUAAAUAGAGGGUUUGUUCAACCCUUAAAUC